GUCACACUAUGGGAGCUGGCCAUGCCCGAAGUCGUUACCUUAACCGCAAGGAGGGGGACGCCGAAGGCAGGGCUAGUGACUGGAGUGAAGUCGUAACAAGGUAGCCGUACUGGAAGGUGCGGCUGGAUCACCUCCUUU
rnacentral:ncRNA from 1 species